UUUGAUCCUGGCUCAGGACGAACGCUGGCGGCGUGCCUAAUACAUGCAAGUCGAGCGAGCGGAACCAACAGAUUUACUUCGGUAAUGACGUUGGGAAAGCGAGCGGCGGAUGGGUGAGUAACACGUGGGGAACCUGCCCCUAAGUCUGGGAUACCAUUUGGAAACAGGUGCUAAUACCGGAUAAUAAAGCAGAUCGCAUGAUCAGCUUUUGAAAGGCGGCGUAAGCUGUCGCUAAGGGAUGGCCCCGCGGUGCAUUAGUUAGUUGGUAAGGUAACGGCUUACCAAGGCGACGAUGCAUAGCCGAGUUGAGAGACUGAUCGGCCACAUUGGGACUGAGACACGGCCCAAACUCCUACGGGAGGCAGCAGUAGGGAAUCUUCCACAAUGGACGCAAGUCUGAUGGAGCAACGCCGCGUGAGUGAAGAAGGUUUUCGGAUCGUAAAGCUCUGUUGUUGGUGAAGAAGGAUAGAGGUAGUAACUGGCCUAUAUUUGACGGUAAUCAACCAGAAAGUCACGGCUAACUACGUGCCAGCAGCCGCGGUAAUACGUAGGUGGCAUGCGUUGUCCGGAUUUAUUGGGCGUAAAGCGAGCGCAGGCGGAAAAAUAAGUCUAAUGUGAAAGCCCUCGGCUUAACCGAGGAACUGCAUCGGAAACUGUUUUUCUUGAGUGCAGAAGAGGAGAGUGGAACUCCAUGUGUAGCGGUGAAAUGCGUAGA
rnacentral:rRNA from 1 species